rnacentral:rRNA from 1 species
GCUAACGUCCGUCGUGAAGAGGGAAACAACCCAGACCGCCAGCUAAGGUCCCAAAGUCAUGGUUAAGUGGGAAACGAUGUGGGAAGGCCCAGACAGCCAGGAUGUUGGCUUAGAAGCAGCCAUCAUUUAAAGAAAGCGUAAUAGCUCACUGGUCGAGUCGGCCUGCGCGGAAGAUGUAACGGGGCUAAACCAUGCACCGAAGCUGCGGCAGCGACNMYUAUGYGUUGUUGGGUAGGGGAGCGUUCUGUAAGCCUGUGAAGGUGUACUGUGAGGUAUGCUGGAGGUAUCAGAAGUGCGAAUGCUGACAUAAGUAACGAUAAAGCGGGUGAAAAGCCCGCUCGCCGGAAGACCAAGGGUUCCUGUCCAACGUUAAUCGGGGCAGGGUGAGUCGACCCCUAAGGCGAGGCCGAAAGGCGUAGUCGAUGGGAAACAGGUUAAUAUUCCUGUACUUGGUGUUACUGCGAAGGGGGGACGGAGAAGGCUAUGUUGGCCGGGCGACGGUUGUCCCGGUUUAAGCGUGUAGGCUGGUUUUCCAGGCAAAUCCGGAAAAUCAAGGCUGAGGCGUGAUGACGAGGCACUACGGUGCUGAAGCAACAAAUGCCCUGCUUCCAGGAAAAGCCUCUAAGCAUCAGGUAACAUCAAAUCGUACCCCAAACCGACACAGGUGGUCAGGUAGAGAAUACCAAGGCGCUUGAGAGAACUCGGGUGAAGGAACUAGGCAAAAUGGUGCCGUAACUUCGGGAGAAGGCACGCUGAUAUGUAGGUGAAGUCCCUCGCGGAUGGAGCUGAAAUCAGUCGAAGAUACCAGCUGGCUGCAACUGUUUAUUAAAAACACAGCACUGUGCAAACACGAAAGUGGACGUAUACGGUGUGACGCCUGCCCGGUGCCGGAAGGUUAAUUGAUGGGGUUAGCGCAAGCGAAGCUCUUGAUCGAAGCCCCGGUAAACGGCGGCCGUAACUAUAACGGUCCUAAGGUAGCGAAAUUCCUUGUCGGGUAAGUUCCGACCUGCACGAAUGGCGUAAUGAUGGCCAGGCUGUCUCCACCCGAGACUCAGUGAAAUUGAACUCGCUGUGAAGAUGCAGUGUACCCGCGGCAAGACGGAAAGACCCCGUGAACCUUUACUAUAGCUUGACACUGAACAUUGAGCCUUGAUGUGUAGGAUAGGUGGGAGGCUUGGAAGUGUGGACGCCAGUCUGCAUGGAGCCGACCUUGAAAUACCACCCUUUAAUGUUUGAUGUUCUAACGUUGACCCGUAAUCCGGGUUGCGGACAGUGUCUGGUGGGUAGUUUGACUGGGGCGGUCUCCUCCUAAAGAGUAACGGAGGAGCACGAAGGUUGGCUAAUCCUGGUCGGACAUCAGGAGGUUAGUGCAAUGGCAUAAGCCAGCUUGACUGCGAGCGUGACGGCGCGAGCAGGUGCGAAAGCAGGUCAUAGUGAUCCGGUGGUUCUGAAUGGAAGGGCCAUCGCUCAACGGAUAAAAGGUACUCCGGGGAUAACAGGCUGAUACCGCCCAAGAGUUCAUAUCGACGGCGGUGUUUGGCACCUCGAUGUCGGCUCAUCACAUCCUGGGGCUGAAGUAGGUCCCAAGGGUAUGGCUGUUCGCCAUUUAAAGUGGUACGCGAGCUGGGUUUAGAACGUCGUGAGACAGUUCGGUCCCUAUCUGCCGUGGGCGCUGGAGAACUGAGGGGGGCUGCUCCUAGUACGAGAGGACCGGAGUGGACGCAUCACUGGUGUUCGGGUUGUCAUGCCAAUGGCACUGCCCGGUAGCUAAAUGCGGAAGAGAUAAGUGCUGAAAGCAUCUAAGCACGAAACUUGCCCCGAGAUGAGUUCUCCCUGACUCCUUGAGAGUCCUGAAGGAACGUUGAAGACGACGACGUUGAUAGGCCGGGUGUGUAAGCGCAGCGAUGCGUUGAGCUAACCGGUACUAAUGAACCGUGAGGCUUAACCUUACAACGCCGAAGGUGUUU